GACGAACGCUGGCGGCGUGCUUAACACAUGCAAGUCGAGCGGUAAGGCCCUUUCGGGGGUACACGAGCGGCGAACGGGUGAGUAACACGUGGGUGACCUGCCCUCAGCUCUGGGAUAAGCCUGGGAAACCGGGUCUAAUACUGGAUAUGACUCCAUGACGCAUGUUGUGGGUGGAAAGCCUUGCGCGGCUGAGGAUGGGCCCGCGGCCUAUCAGCUUGUUGGUGGGGUGANGGCCUACCAAGGCGACGACGGGUAGCCGGCCUGAGAGGGCGACCGGCCACACUGGGACUGAGACACGGCCCAGACUCCUACGGGAGGCAGCAGUGGGGAAUCUUGCGCAAUGGGCGAAAGCCUGACGCAGCGACGCCGCGUGAGGGAUGACGGCC
rnacentral:rRNA from 1 species